AGAGCGAACGCUGGCGGCAGGCUUAACACAUGCAAGUCGAGCGGGCGUAGCAAUACGUCAGCGGCAGACGGGUGAGUAACGCGUGGGAACGUACCUUUGGUUCGGAACAACACAGGGAAACUUGUGCUAAUACCGGAUAAGCCCUUACGGGGAAAGAUUUAUCGCCGAAAGAUCGGCCCGCGUCUGAUUAGCUAGUUGGUGAGGUAACGGCUCACCAAGGCGACGAUCAGUAGCUGGUCUGAGAGGAUGAUCAGCCACAUUGGGACUGAGACACGGCCCAAACUCCUACGGGAGGCAGCAAUGGGGAAUAUUGGACAAUGGGCGCAAGCCUGAUCCAGCCAUGCCGCGUGAGUGAUGAAGGCCCUAGGGUUGUAAAGCUCUUUUGUGCGGGAAGAUAAUGACGGUACCGCAAAGAAUAAGCCCCGGCUAACUUCGCGCCAGCAGCCGC
rnacentral:rRNA from 1 species